rnacentral:rRNA from 1 species
CCUACGGGAGGCAGCAGUGAGGAAUAUUGGUCAAUGGUCGGGAGACUGAACCAGCCAAGCCGCGUGAGGGAUGAAGGUACAGAGUAUCGUAAACCUCUUUUGUCAGGGAACAAAGGCGGGGACGCGUCCCCGGAUGAGUGUACCUGAAGAAAAAGCAUCGGCUAACUCCGUGCCAGCAGCCGCGGUAAUACGGAGGAUGCGAGCGUUAACCGGAUUUGUUGGGUUAAAAGGGUGCGCAGGCGGUCUGUUAAGUCAGCGGUCAAAGCCCGGGGCUCAACCCCGGCCCGCCGUUGAAACUGGCAGUCUCGAGUUGGAGAGAAGUAUGCGGAAUGCGCGGUGUAGCGGUGAAAUGCAUAGAUAUCGCGCAGAACUCCGAUUGCGAAGGCAGCAUGCCGGCUCCACACUGACGCUGAGGCACGAAAGCGUGGGUAUCGAACAGGAUUAGAUACCCCAGUAGUC